UACGUAGGUGGCAAGCGUUGUCCGGAAUUAUUGGGCGUAAAGCGCGCGCAGGUGGUUCCUUAAGUCUGAUGUGAAAGCCCACGGCUCAACCGUGGAGGGUCAUUGGAAACUGGGGAACUUGAGUGCAGAAGAGGAAAGUGGAAUUCCACGUGUAGCGGUGAAAUGCGUAGAGAUGCGGAGGAACACCGAUGGCGAAGGCAGCCCCCUGGGCCGACAUUGACGCUCAGGCACGAAAGCGUGGGGAGCAAACAGG
rnacentral:rRNA from 1 species